AAUAAAUAUGCAUUGAGGUUCUUCAACUUUCUAAAAUGAAAGUUUGUCUUAAAGCUACUUUUUGCUGGACAAAACCUGAAAAGGAUGAAAGGAGAGCAUUGGAAUUGGCAUUGCAUCCAGUGGAUCAGAUCAAGACAUCAAAGUUGUAUUCAGUAUUAAUUUUUACAUGGAGAGAGUGCCACUUUCCCCCAUCUGUGUGACUUCCCAGGUUGUUCUUCUGAGUGUGGUGAAAUUGCAAGAGACACUUCUCUUUCAGUUUUGUUUGCAUUUGCAAGAGAACAAACUUGAUCAAUUGCCAUUUCUAUAAUCCUUUAAAUCUGGUUCUGUAAUUGUAAAACAAUCACCGGGUUUAUGUAAAAUCAGUGAUUAUAACUCAUAGAUAAGCCUGGUAAUGUACACCUCGUAAGCUCUGAUACCAUGCAGAAAAAUUAUGAAACUUAUGGUGGGGGGAUGGAGAGGGGCCAAGGUGGGGUUGCAAGGGUUCAAUGUUAUUUCCCUAAGAUGUAAGGCUAACUUGGACAAAUCAAUUUGUCCAAAUUGUUCCUUAAAUUUGGUCUUUAUCAGUCCCUUUCCUAUUACAGCAUACAGCAGUAACCUUUGGGUUGCAUCAUUAUUUUUGUCUGA